UGGGAACUACUCUGUAUAGAAGAACUUUCCUUUAGUAAUUUCCAUGAAAACUAUGUGAUGACUUCUGGAACACAGAUGAAACCAGAAAGGAAAAGUGCAAGAAGCUGACAUGAACCUGACCUGUAAUCUGAAACAGACGGAGUUGGUGCCAGCUGGUCUGCAGUCCUGUGAGCAAGAAAUCGAUGUACAUACUCACGAGUAAAACAGAAACAUUUGCUGUUAUAACCCAGGAAGAUUUGGGAGUGGAUUUUUAUGUCGUGUUUCUGCAGCAAUUGUUGAUGAAUAAGCCCAUGAUUAGCCUCAAUGGGAGGAAGUUUGGAGCUUCUCUCAGACAUAUAAGAGUUAUUCUGAAGAAUCUGCAUCUUGUUGGGGUGGAGGACUUCAAAAUGUGUGAUUAAAAUGCACUGGUCUUGUAUCUAUCUAACUGGAACAACUGGUGGACAAGCUCUUACUGCUUCUCCAGGUUCUCACAAGAAAGCAGGCAUGGAUUCCUUUUGCACAGAUUCUCCAGGCUUUCUGGCCCUGUCAUUCCUCCUUCUAUCUUCUGGGUUGAGCAGCAUGCAAUCUCUCCUUGUGUAGAACCCCAAAUAGCUACUGAAAAUGUUUCCUCUCUGACUUUCCCCAUUUCUUGAACUCUGAGAGACUUUUUCUAGUAUCAGAUCUGAAGAGCAUUGCUAUUUUCCUUCCUAUCAUUUGGGAGACCUAAACUUAAAAACUCAAAACCUUGGAAAAACUUCCUUUUUUUCUCUCUUUUGUCUGGAUCAUCACUACCUUGAAAUACUAAAUUAGUAAAGUCCUAACUGGGAACUGAAGUGGCUAAAGAGUCAAGGAGCAACAGGCAAUUCCAAGAAAAACAAUAGGAAACUUACAUCAGUUAACAUUUCAAAGCUAUUUUCCUUUGCAAUUGUAUGUAUUGGUUUUAUGCAAUGCAAGAUAUAAUAGGCUAAAUACUAUUUUGCAUAUAUGUUAUGUUGGAUUUCUCACAUAUUCUACCACUUAAGAUGUUGAGUAAAUAAAUGAGUUAAUAAACUGGAAUUUCUAUAUCAACUCUUGGUUCUAGUUAUGUUUUGUUUUGGAUUUUCUUUUUCUUUUUGAAUGCUUAUUCACUGGCCCAGCUGUAUUUAUGCCUAGAUUAACCAGAGACAUUGCCAGCUGUGAUUUGCAGAUGUGCUCCAGCUCCACAAUGCCAGGAAAAUUCAAUUAUACCUACUAAGGUCAUCGCUAUAAAUCACAACCGCACUGACAUUUUAUGGUGAAUAGUGGCAAUUGAAAUACUUAGCCAGCAGCAGAUUGUAACUGCUUAUAUUACGAUGGCCAAAAUAACCAUGUGUGAAACCAUUAUAUCAGUUAUAUUUACAGCCAAAUCACACCAGGCAGUGGUCCAAGCAAUGGGUUGGCAAUCAGCCUGAUUCAAACUGAGCAAGGCUGCAAAAUGUGAACAAAAACAUGAGCCAUUACAGCAUGUAUUCAGAGUUCAAAUGGAAUAGAACCUCCCAGACACAGUAGACACUGAAAUGAAUAAGCUUGCUCCCAAGGAUUUACCUCAAUUUGCAAGUGUGUGUUAGGUACAAGAUAGAAUUCUCAGACGGACUACCUCUCUGUGGGACAGUCUCUAAAGAGAUCGUUUCAAUAUAUAUGUUCCUUAGAAUAUUCAAAUCCAUAAAGUACUUUCUAACUUUUAUUUUUUGGCCAUAAUUGAGGGGAAGGAUUUACCUUGUUACCUUAAAAAAACUAAACAGACAAGCAAAAUAUAUGAAAUAAUGGUUUUCAGACAUAAGAGGCUAUGCAAGAGAACAAGACAACAGAAACAAAUGAGAUGAGCAAAACUAUAUUUAUACAGCUUUUAGGUUGUUUUACAGAAAAGGGAAAUCCAAACAGUGCCCGGCAGUCUCCCUGAGGUAACCAGAGAAAGUUGAGAACUUGUACAUUCCAAGGUGGCUUUAAAUUACAGAGACAACAACCAAGCAUCAGAUUGCUUCACAAAUAAGAGAGGCCUGCACGGAUAGAGCACUCUGGGGAUUUGAAGAGAGUUCCUUUUGAGAUUUCAACUGAAUAUUACUCAGUGCAUAUAUGUCAGGAAAACAACUAGGACCAAAAAAGGAAUCAGAAGGAAAGAUUCAAAGGAACAACCCCCAGGAUUCCUACAGAGCCUGGAAGAGUUUAUGCUCCUACCUGCUAGAGUUGAAUGAACACUGUAACACAAGGAAGCAUCAGGCAGAGUACUCUAAAGAAUAUUGUCUGAACACUGGGGCAGAAUUAGCCUUUGACUAAAGUCUUCUGAUCCCACCUUAAAAUCAAGCCUUGAAAGGAUCAAUCAGUUUCUAAGUAACUUAAUUGUACCUUAGAACAAAGAUCAAGAAUAUUUAAAUAUACACAAACUAACAAACAAGGUACAUUGCACAAUGUCUGGUAGCCAAUACAAAUUACCAAGCAAGCAAAGAGGCAGAAAAAUGUGAUCCAACAUGAGAAGAAAAAUCAAUCAGUAAAACAGAUUCUUGAAACAGAUGCUAAAAAUAGCAGACAAUAUUGAAACAUCUAUUAUAACUAUAUUGCAAAUAAU
rnacentral:lncRNA from 1 species